rnacentral:tRNA from 1 species
GCGGUCGUGGCGUUUUUGGGUGACGCACUGGAUGUUGGUUCCAGCGGGCAACCGUGGGAGUUCGUGUCUCCCCGUUCGCACCA